rnacentral:rRNA from 1 species
UGGGAAUUUUGGACAAUGGGCGCAAGCCUGAUCCAGCCAUGCCGCGUGCGGGAAGAAGGCCUUCGGGUUGUAAACCGCUUUUGUCAUGGGAAGAAAUCUUCUGAGUUAAUACCUCGGGAGGAUGACGGUACCUGAAGAAUAAGCACCGGCUAACUACGUGCCAGCAGCCGCGGUAAUACGUAGGGUGCAAGCGUUAAUCGGAAUUACUGGGCGUAAAGCGUGCGCAGGCGGUUUUGUAAGACAGAGGUGAAAUCCCCGGGCUCAACCUGGGAACUGCCUUUGUGACUGCAAGGCUUGAGUGCGGCAGAGGGGGAUGGAAUUCCGCGUGUAGCAGUGAAAUGCGUAGAUAUGCGGAGGAACACCGAUGGGAAGGCAAUCCCCUGGGCCUGCACUGACGGCUCAUGCACGAAAAGCGUGGGGAGCAAAAACAGGAUUAGAUACCCUGGUAGUCCACGCCCUAAAACGAUGUCAACUGGUUGUUGGGAAGGUUCCUUCUCAGUAACGUAGCUAACGCGUGAAAGUUGACCGCCUGGGGAGUGC